UUGGACACUUUAGCGGGGCUGCACCGUAAAGCAACCCCGCCCCAGCCCAAA
rnacentral:ncRNA from 1 species